rnacentral:rRNA from 1 species
ACGUAGGGUGCAAGCGUUAAUCGGAAUUACUGGGCGUAAAGCGUGCGCAGGCGGUUUUGUAAGUUUGUCGUGAAAGCCCCGGGCUCAACCUGGGAAUUGCGAUGAAGACUGCAAGGCUUGAAUCUGGCAGAGGGGGGUAGAAUUCCACGUGUAGCAGUGAAAUGCGUAGAGAUGUGGAGGAACACCGAUGGCGAAGGCAGCCCCUUGGGUCAAGAUUGACGCUCAUGCACGAAAGCGUGGGGAGCAAACAGGA